rnacentral:rRNA from 1 species
AUUGAACGCUGGCGGCAUGCCUUACACAUGCAAGUCGAACGGCAGCACGGGAGCAAUCCUGGUGGCGAGUGGCGAACGGGUGAGUAAUAUAUCGGAACGUGCCCAGUCGUGGGGGAUAACGUAGCGAAAGCUACGCUAAUACCGCAUACGAUCUAUGGAUGAAAGCGGGGGAUCGCAAGACCUCGCGCGAUUGGAGCGGCCGAUAUCAGAUUAGGUUGUUGGUGGGGUAAAAGCUCACCAAGCCUGCGAUCUGUAGCUGGUCUGAGAGGACGACCAGCCACACUGGAACUGAGACACGGUCCAGACUCCUACGGGAGGCAGCAGUGGGGAAUUUUGGACAAUGGGCGCAAGCCUGAUCCAGCCAUCCCGCGUGCUUGAUGAAGGCCCUCUGGGUCGUAAAGAGCUUUAGACUGGGAAGAAACCACUUCUCGUGAGAGGUGUUGACGGUACCAGUAGAAUAAGCACCGGCUAACUCCGUG